rnacentral:lncRNA from 1 species
AAAUACGAUGACAAUCGUACGUUUUGAUUAAAAAAACUAAACUCGUCGUCCGCUAGUUAUUCUAGCGGACACAACUAUUGCAAAAAUUUUGGUCGAUUAUGCCCCUUUAAAUUGCAAAAAUCGUAGGAAAUUGCAGAUGGAUCCGCUAGUCCUUCAAGCGGACUGAAUAUUUUUUGCAAUUUCCUCUCAAUAAUUUCAGUCUCAACGAAUUUCCUCUCAACAAUUUCUAGUCUCAACAAUUUACCUAAUUUCUACGAUUAGUUGCUGCGAUUAAUGCAAUCUCUACGAAUUGGAAUUGGAACCUAGCUCGAAUUGGGAUCGACAACUUUUUGUGAAAAGGAAUUGGGGCAAAAUUACUCUGGUAAUCGAUCAGGCUGUUGAAUUUUGUUUCUAUCGAUAAUUUUUUGCUUUUUAGACUACAUAUUUUGAGUUAUGUAAUCUGCAACUUUUACCUUGGAAAAUUAUACAAUUCAGCAGCAUUACUUUUGGUUGGUGUUUCACCUCUUUAUGAGUCUCAUUUUCAUGGAGUGGCUAUUGUGAACAAAAUGAUAUCCAUUCACCACAUUUUUAGCACCAACUCACCAUGAUUUUGUAGCACGCAUUUUUGAAGGAUUAUUACCUUCAUUAGCUUAAUGCAAUAAAAGUGAAUUCUCUCCACUUUCUUGCAAUAGUAAAUAUGAAUGUUGUGUUCAACAGUAGUAUCGUGUGUUCAUUCAUGUGUUCAGCAGUAAUAAAUAUAUAUGUUGUUGUGUUCAACAAUUCAUGUAUUCAGCAAUAGUAAUGUUGUGUUCAACAAUACUAAUGUUGUGUUCAAAUAUGUAUUCAUUCAUGUGUUCAAUGUUGUGUUAAAAAAUGUGUUUAUUCACAUGUUCAGCAGGGCAGCAGAAUGUUGUGUUGCAGUUGGUUUAGUUGGCAUAAUGUUGUGUGAGUGCUAUCUUUGAAACAAACUCAUUCCUGCCUGUAUUGAGACGGAGGACAUGUCGAAAAGGGGGAAACAAACUCAUUCCUGCCUUGUAACAUUCAUUCCUUGUGUUAUUUGGAAAAUAUUGAAUGUGUGAUUUGGAAAAGGGGACUGUCAUACAUCCGCUAGAAUAUCUAGCGGACAAAUUUGAUUGAUAUAGUAACAUAUACUUAUUAUUUUUAAGUACAAAAUGUUCCAAAUAAUGUAGGAUGGAUGGAGAAUCAAUUAGUGAGCAAUUGUUAAAAACAUUACUAUGUAUGUACACUCCUUAUUUUCGAGAUGUGUUUAUUAUGUUUGGUGUGUUGGCAGAGUGUUGAUUUUCCCCUCUAAUGUGAAAGAUCUUCUCUUUUAAGGACAUUUUGUGGGGUUAUGAUUAACAUAUUUACAUGGGGAUUGGUGGGUUGUGCUCAGGCCACAGUGCCUUUUCUCCUUGAAUUGGUUUGUUUUCUUCUGGGGGUAAGGGCAAAAAGCAUUGAUAUGUAUAAUCUUCAACUCAAAGCCGUCCCACAUGAUAUUAUGAGCUUAAAGAUUGUUAAUAUGAUUUUCUUGACUCUCUUGCAGGUACUUGCUUAAGAUUAUUGGAAUUCAAGAGAAUGCCCGACUACAAGGAGGCAUGUUUUGGGCUGCUGGGUUAUGGGAAGUGGAGAGAAUGUCCUCUAAUAUACUUCACUUAGUUUUUUGAUCAGUUGGGAAAAACAGAUGUUUAAUAUUUUACAAAAUUUUCUAAGCAUUUUCUGUUUCGACUCACAUGUUUAAUAUGUCUAGGGUGCUUGUAAAGGCUUUGAAUGGUUGUAAUUUACAACACCCUGAAAUUCCUAGGAUUGUUGUACCAUAUAACUAAUUUAGUUGUACCAUACAACUAAUUCAAACCCAUUCCAUGGAUGAACUUUGACCGCCAUGGAUUGUAUGAAACAUUUAGUGUAGACUAGUAUAUUUAUUGGAUUGUCAAUUUGCGCUAUUCCAUUUACUUGCAACAUAUAAAUAAAGAAGCAUUUCUCUUUAUUGAGC